AGCAGCCGCGGUAAUUCCAGCUCCAAUAGCGUAUAUUAAAGUUGUUGCAGUUAAAAAGCUCGUAGUUGAAUUUCGGGAUCAAUAUGUUGGUCGUGCCUCGGUACGUACUAGCAUAUUGGUUUCUCCUUUCUGAAGAACCAUGAUGUCAUUCAUUUGGUGUCGUGGGGAAUCAGGACUGUUACUUUGAAAAAAUUAGAGUGUUUAAAGCAGGCUCACGCUUGAAUACAUUAGCAUGGAAUAAUGAAAUAGGACGUUUGAUUCUAUUUUGUUGGUUUCUAGGAUCGACGUAAUGAUUAAUAGGGAUAGUUGGGGGCAUUAGUAUUCAAUUGUCAGAGGUGAAAUUCUUGGAUUUAUUGAAGACUAACUACUGCGAAAGCAUUUGCCAAGGAUGUUUUCAUUAAUCAAGAACGAAAGUUAGGGGAUCGAGGACGAUCAGAUACCGUCGUAGUCUUAACCAUAAACUAUGCCGACUAGGGAUCGGAUGAUGUUAAUUUUUUAAUGACUCAUUCGGCGCCUUACG
rnacentral:misc_RNA from 1 species